GCAAAAAGUGGAAAAUACAAGCAAAAACUAAAAAAAAAACAACUUAUGAAACUAAACCAGCCAGAAAAACUGGAAAAUGUGAAUGAUUAUGUUGUGUUAUUAGGUUUUUCUAGUUGUAUUUGUUGUUUUUUGUUUCGAGGACAACAUCUGCACUAUUCAUUCAUUUAUACAUAGUACUUAAAUAUUACAGACAACAUAAUAAAACUGAAGACACGUAGGCGCUUCUAGUUUUCUUUUGCAUAUCGGCCUAAAUGCAUCUGAAAGAGAUUGGCUGUCUGACUAGGCUGUUUGUGGUUAUUUCACUGUUGUUGUAUUUUUCUAUUGACUUAAAGAUUAAAAUCACCAAAAAAGUGUAGCCAAAUUAAUGAUUUCUCUUUUCACAUAAUUUAUGACUGUCAAAUGGACCAAACAACUAACAAAGCAGGAUUUCCUGUGCAAUUUUGGCCUUUAUGGAACACCAAGUCUCAUUGUAAAAGUAUAAAGGUCUUCUUAAAGAGAUUCAAAGAUUGUCGGAACUAUUUUUAUACAAUUAACUGACUAAAGACGAUUGAUUCAAUCUCAAAAUUGAAAAAACUGUUUUUCAGCCGACUGGUUCACAAAUAAUGGCAUGUUCCCUCGACAAUUGGAUCUUUGCUCCGGAAAGAACCGAGUAAUACUCGGCCAAUGAUUGUCAACCCAGCUGUAUCAACCAAAAGUUUUUCCCAGGAAAGAACUAUCGGCCACAGUCGAACUGUUACAACAACAAAUAUUAACAUGAUUUGUCAGAGAUAGAGUUCAAAAAGUUUUCGACCUAAUUUUUGUAAGAGAGCUUUUAAAAACCCAUAGAUAAUGCAAAGAUAUAUUGUAAAUAAAAAGGAGUAUCAAAUACCAAUUUCAUUUGGAAGUUUUUUUUUUACAGAUUAAUUUAAUUUGUUACUUCAUGUUGCAAUUAAAUUCGAUAAAAUGCUCUUAAGAGAAUACAAGUCAAAUGUUAGUUUUAAUUCAUCCACAAUUUAUCAAUUUAAAUUAAAAACUCAUUAUAAAAUCUGCUCAUUUUACAAGAACUCAUUAGAUUAUUUUAGCUAAAUUAUUCUAAAUUUCUUAAAAAUAUACAGCACAACAAUUCCCUUAAUAUCCUUUACAAUCUAUGAAAAAAAUGAAAAUUCCAUCUAAAAACUAUAAUUUACUUACUUGUGUAAACGUUCAAUUUGUUCCGAUUCGUUUGACAAUUCAAUUAUAGCAAAUAGUUCCUCUUCAC